rnacentral:lncRNA from 1 species
CUCUGUGACUGGCUUGCUUGAUGGUUAGGGUCUGAUCGCUGCCUGAGACACCAUAUCGGUACUCCUCAGAGUUGGUGGCUGCCAUGAGAUAGUCAUGUGUUCAGGAGUAACAUCCAGAAUAUUAAUAGGACCUGUUGGUGGCCCAGGAACAUCAAGAACAGUAAGAUGUACGGCUACUGUUUUGCUACCGGCUGCAUUGGAAACUGUGAUUUGAUAUUCCCCAGUGUCUCUCCUUAAGCAGUUCUUAAUGAGAAUAGACGCCUUGAUGGCUCCUCUGGCAGUUCUUGAUGACCAUGGAUGAGCUAAUGGCUGUGGUCUCAAUGGUGGCUUCUUGAGAUGGUAUUGCCUCUGAAUUUGCUGAUUCAGAAGAUGUCGGACUCAUGUUAUCCUAUAGAAGAUGUAACAACCCAUAUACAUUUAUGAAAAUCAGGAACUACAUUAUUAUAAUGAUGAAGGAAAAGCCCAAGAAAUCAACCAACCUGAAACCUGCAAUGAAGCUGUGCAGCUGUCUUUGCCAACAGGGUUCUGCACCUCAAAACUGUAUACCCCACUGUCACUCGGUGCUACAUUGA